rnacentral:rRNA from 1 species
GUCGAACGGCAGCGCGAACUUCGGUUUGGCGGCGAGUGGCGAACGGGUGAGUAAUAUAUCGGAACGUACCCAGUAGCGGGGGAUAACUACCCGAAAGAGUAGCUAAUACCGCAUACGCCCUACGGGGGAAAGGGGGGGAUCGCAAGACCUCUCACUAUUGGAGCGGCCGAUAUCGGAUUAGCUAGUUGGUGGGGUAAAGGCUCACCAAGGCGACGAUCCGUAGCUGGUUUGAGAGGACGACCAGCCACACUGGGACUGAGACACGGCCCAGACUCCUACGGGAGGCAGCAGUGGGGAAUUUUGGACAAUGGGGGAAACCCUGAUCCAGCCAUCCCGCGUGUGCGAUGAAGGCCUUCGGGUUGUAAAGCACUUUUGGCAGGAAAGAAAUCGCAUGGGUUAAUAACCUGUGUGGAUGACGGUACCUGCGGAAUAAGCACCGGCUAACUACGUGCCAGCAGCCGCGGUAAUACGUAGGGUGCAAGCGUUAAUCGGAAUUACUGGGCGUAAAGCGUGCGCAGGCGGUUCGGAAAGAAAGAUGUGAAAUCCCAGGGCUUAACCUUGGAACUGCAUUUUUAACUACCGAGCUAGAGUAUGUCAGAGGGGGGUGGAAUUCCGCGUGUAGCAGUGAAAUGCGUAGAUAUGCGGAGGAACACCGAUGGCGAAGGCAGCCCCCUGGGAUAAUACUGACGCUCAUGCACGAAAGCGUGGGGAGCAAACAGGA